GGUUGCUUAUCUGCAUAUUGUGGCCCUACCGUUCCCCCUCUCUCACAACAAAAAAGUAGUAAAAUGAAAAGCGACACAAAACAAUGAAAUGAAUAAGGCAACCUUCACCGAACAAAGUGCGGCCUUCAACGUUCCACUUUUAUACUCACCGUAUCGCUAAUGAGAAUGGGAUUCAUUACCUAGGAAGUAAGACAGGGUGUCCAGAGGAGAGUGUACAAUGGAAAAGACGGGUCACAUGGGGUUGUCUGAAGUUAGGACUGGGGACACCUUCUGACACGGCGGAGAUGAUCUGUGCAAGACUGGGUAUGACAGAUGCUGAACUCCAGUGUCCACACUCUGUUUUCCAGGAGUCUAUCCUAAAAGAAACCACCAGAGAGGAGGCUGAAGAUAGCCACUGUUAUUUACAAAUCCGCAAACUGGAAACAGCCCAACUGUCCAACAGCAGGGAUCUGCUACCAAAAAGCCAUGAUCCAGCAGGCCUAUGGCAAGUUUCUGACCACAGAGGGAAAGCAUGCCUGCCAUUAGGGCAAGCAGCAGCCGCACAGUGGACCGUGUGGUUUCAUCUAAGUUAUAAGUGUUUGCCUCUGGAUGUCUGCUCUUUUCCUGGAGCCUGUGGAAUCUUAGUUCCCUGACUAGGGAUAGAACCUGUGCCCCCUGCAGUGGAAGCAUGGAGUGGAGAAACAGUCAAGGAGUUCCCCAGAGUUCUACUACAAACACAAACAAACCUCAGAAAUAAAUGCCAGGUCUUGCACAGCCCCUUCCCCACCCCCCACCCCCAACAACUUAGGUCACAGAGCCUCUAGGAGUUCCAAAAGGGUUCAAACUAGCAAAGUUUUACUUUAAUGUUAUGUUUGCUCAUAAAUGGUUCUGAAAAAGCCGAUAUGCAAGAGGCUAACACGCUGUGUCUAAGGCAACAUCGAGGCCACUGUGAAUGUCCUUCAGACAAGGGGCUCUGCUCGAAAUCUCCCUGACUUGGGGCAGGGGCAGCAGGGGGGCUCUGGGACGGAUGAAUAAAUGUACACCAUCUCAGCUCUGCCAUCAGGGCUGGCUGCCCGGGACACUAAGGCAGUCGAUGGGAGGUGGACUGCUUGGAACUU